GCCCUGGUAGCACAGUGGUAGUGCGUUGGUCUUGUAAACCAAAGGUCGAGGGUUCGAUUCCCUCCUUGGGCU